UACAGAGGGGGCAAGCGUUGUUCGGAAUUACUGGGCGUAAAGGGCGCGUAGGCGGCCCGCUAAGUCGAACGUGAAAUCCCCGAGCUCAACUCGGGAACUGCGUCCGAUACUGGCGGGCUUGAAUCCGGGAGAGGGAUGCGGAAUUCCAGGUGUAGCGGUGAAAUGCGUAGAUAUCUGGAGGAACACCGGUGGCGAAGGCGGGUCUCUGGGCCGAUACUGACGCUGAGGAGCGAAAGCAUGGGGAGCGAACAGG
rnacentral:rRNA from 1 species